rnacentral:rRNA from 1 species
UACAGGGGGGGCAAGCGUUGUUCGGAAUUACUGGGCGUAAAGGGCUCGUAGGUGGCCGACUAAGUCAGACGUGAAAUCCCUCAGCUUAACUGGGGAACUGCGUCUGAUACUGGAUGGCUUGAGUUUGGGAGAGGGAUGCGGAAUUCCAGGUGUAGCGGUGAAAUGCGUAGAUAUCUGGAGGAACACCGGUGGCGAAGGCGGGUUGCUGGGCCGACACUGACGCUGAGGCGCGAAAGCCAGGGGAGCGAACGGG